rnacentral:rRNA from 1 species
CCUACGGGUGGCAGCAGUGAGGAAUAUUGGUCAAUGGGCGCGACUCUGAACCAGCCAAGUAGCGUGAAGGAUGACUGCCCUACGGGUUGUAAACUUCUUUUAUAAAGGAAUAAAGUGAGGCACGUGUGCCUUUUUGCAUGUACUUUAUGAAUAAGGACCGGCUAAUUCCGUGCCAGCAGCCGCGGUAAUACGGAGGUUCCGAGCGUUAUCCGGAUUUAUUGGGUUUAAAGGGAGCGUAGAUGGGUUGUUAAGCUUGUUGUGAAAGUUUGCGGCUCAACCGUAGAAGUGCAAUGCAAACUGGGAGUCUUGAGUACAGUUGAGGUAGGCGGAAUUCGUGGUGUAGCGGUGAAAUGCUUAGAUAUCACGAAGAACUCCGAUUGCGAAGGCAGCUUACUAAACUGCUACUGACGUUCAGGCUCGAAAGUGUGGGUAUCAAACAGGAUUAGAUACCCUUGUAGUC